CCUUAGUAUCUGUUUGCGCCUGGGAGUAGCGACGCGGAUAACUAGAGGUGUCGGGUCAGCGGGUUGCGGAGGAUCUCGCAGAUAGAAAAGGGAGACUUAAUGCUCCCGUGGCCCUAGACAGCGGCCAGUUGCAUCCUCUACUGAAGUAUUGAACCCCUCAAAGUCAUUCAUGAGCAAUGGAAUCGACUUCUUCGAAACACCUGUUAAUUUCAAUAUUUUGACCUCCUUCCAUGAAUCACAAAUGUUCUUAAU